UCUCAUUUCUGUGAUCGAAAAUAUAAAAAAAGAGAAACAAAAGCCGGAGCCAGCGACAUCGCUCGAAUUUAUUCAAUCUUGGCGACAAGACUGAGUGUUUGCAGAACCAUAGGAGUAUCGUUGGAAGAGACGAAGACAGGGUAAUGGCUUGAACACACGAAUUGUAUUUAGGAAGACGUGCCGGCCAAACUAUUGCAAGUUUGACUGUUCAGCAUAAUGUUAGAACAACAAACUCUUCACCUAUGCACGGUCAUCAGCCCCCGCCAGGUCUUGGCCUGUCAUUUGUGUCACAAGGAAGUACCACACCUUGUCAUGUGUCAGGAAUUGGAGAGAUAACAUCUUACUUAGAAGUAAAUUGAAGGCAGCCAACAAUUGGACGGUGGUGCCAAUCAAUGAAAAGAAGGGAUACACGUACAUGCACUGAGUACACAGUGAUCAUCAAGGAAAAAACCCUUCGAUCAAAGUUCCUUUUUGAUUCAGCUUAUCCAAAGCUGAUUGCCUCUACAAUUGCCCCUUAUAUAUCCACCUGCGGCUAAUGAGGAGCUGCAAUAUCCAAUAGGUCAAGGGCAAGCAACCCGGAAACAAUAUGAAGAUUUACUCAUACAAAUUGGUACAUGGUGUAUGUAACUAUGUUGUUUUAACUAACUUCAACAUACCAUUAUUAUAAAUUAAAAAAUUGACAAAGCUGAAAUCAAUGAUAACUGACUAUGGGUAGGAACAUGUGUGAAUUUGGCAGCAUGGUUUUAUAGGAUGUAUACCAUUGAGUAUGAAAGUGCAUGUGUGACCCUGGCUGUUUUUUCAGUCAGUAGAUGACUUUAGUAUUUGAAAUGAUGCUUGAAUUUAUUUGUG